CUAGCUACAACCGCACAUAAAAGGUAUUAAAUGUACGAAUGUACUGCCUCGGUUGGCGAGUCUAAGAAUACA
rnacentral:sRNA from 1 species